rnacentral:rRNA from 1 species
UGGGGGAUAUUGCACAAUGGGCGAAAGCCUGAUGCAGCGACGCCGCGUGGGGGAUGAAGGCCUUCGGGUUGUAAACUUCUUUUGCUCUGAACAAGGCAUGCCUUUGGGGUGUGUUGAGUGUAGGGGUUGAUUAGCGCCGGCUAACUACGUGCCAGCAGCCGCGGUAAUACGUAGGGCGCGAGCGUUGUCCGGAAUUAUUGGGCGUAAAGGGCUUGUAGGUGGCUGGUUGCGUCUGUCGUGAAAGCUCAAGGCUUAACUGUGGGUUUGCGGUGGGUACGGGCUGGCUUGAGUGCAGUAGGGGAGGCUGGAAUUCCUGGUGUAGCGGUGGAAUGCGCAGAUAUCAGGAGGAAUACCGGUGGCGAAGGCGGGUCUCUGGGCUGUUACUGACGCUGAGGAGCGAAAGCGUGGGGAGCGAACAGG